rnacentral:rRNA from 1 species
AUUGAACGCUGGCGGCAGGCCUAACACAUGCAAGUCGAGCGGAUGAUGGGAGCUUGCUCCUGGAUUCAGCGGCGGACGGGUGAGUAAUGCCUAGGAAUCUGCCUGGUAGUGGGGGAUAACGUCCGGAAACGGGCGCUAAUACCGCAUACGUCCUGAGGGAGAAAGUGGGGGAUCUUCGGACCUCACGCUAUCAGAUGAGCCUAGGUCGGAUUAGCUAGUUGGUGGGGUAAAGGCCUACCAAGGCGACGAUCCGUAACUGGUCUGAGAGGAUGAUCAGUCACACUGGAACUGAGACACGGUCCAGACUCCUACGGGAGGAAGCAGUGGGGACUAUUGGACAAUGGGCGAAAGCCUGAUCCAGCCAUGCCGCGUGUGUGAAGAAGGUCUUCGGAUUGUAAAGCACUUUAAGUUGGGAGGAAGGGCAGUAAGUUAAUACCUUGCUGUUUUGACGUUACCAACAGAAUAAGCACCGGCUAACUUCGUG